CCAUGCUCACUAUUCUCCACUCAAUCACGAUCAUUGUUCACUAUCCCCGGCCUAUUAGCACUCCUCACCUGUUGCCUGUUUCAGCUCGUUAACCACUCUACAAAAACCCUCUCCAUGGCCCAGUUGUUG